AUGAAAACGUUCUAUGGACUCGUCCACUCCAACAAGUUCUUUUCAGUGUUUAUGGAAGCCUUCCUCCAGAGACACCUGCCAGAUCUUGAUCCCUGCUCGAAGCCUCACUGCUGUGGCUAUGCACUGCUGUGGAUUACUGGGAUAAGAAGUGACCUUGGAAAAUGUGACUGCAAGUGGUAAAAGCCAGGACGUUUUUCUGUAAAGUUAACACUUCCUUUGCAUCUGGGUUUGUUAUGAGUAACCAUACAUGGUUCAAGGUUCUUAGAAAACUAUUUUCUGGUAUCUUUGA
rnacentral:lncRNA from 1 species